GCGGAGGGCUGGAUGGCCGCGGCGCGGUGUUUGCUCUGCAAUCUUCGGCGGGGCCGCUCUUGUGAUCUUUUCUUGCGAAAAGACACUGUCGCGGCGCGGUGCGGGGCCUGCGGUGCAAGCCCCGCACCGAGGAAAGUCCGGACUCCCUGAAGCAGCGGUGCCGGGUAACGCCCGGGCGGAGAGGGGCGGGGAAACCCGUGCGGAUCCGACGGACAGCGCCACAGAAAUGAAACUACCCUGAUUCUUCAGGGAAAAGGUGAAACGGUGCGGUAAGAGCGCACCACGGCCUUGGCAACAAGGACGGUAUGGCAAGCCCCACCGGGAGCAAUGCCAAAUAGGGAUCUCGCGUGCGUGUCACAGGGCCGCUUCAGCCCGAGAGAUCCGGGUUGGCAGCUAGAGCUGUCGGGCAACCGGCAGCCGAGAGGAAUGGUCAUCCAUCGGACGGGGAAACCCGGCCCGAGGACAGAAUCCGGCUUACAGGCCCUCCGCGCAU
rnacentral:RNase_P_RNA from 1 species